AAAGUGUUUAUUUUGGUAACGUGUACAAAGUUUCAGCUCUUCUAAACCAGGGAGAUUUCACAGCCAGGCUUUCAUGUUCCCAGCAGAGAAGGAGGUGGCUUAAAGAGACGAGUGGGCAUGAAAGCUGCUCUCAGGUAGUUUGGCUGAAAAAAGACUUAAUCAGAAGGGAAGGAGAGACCAGAUUUACACAAAUAAAAGCGGCGGGAGUAAAUACGAUCAAUAACGUUUGACCUUCCAAUCGUGUCCUUCUGCCCAUUACUCCUUGUUGCUCUGAAGGCCAAGAACCAGCCUGGGCUGGGAUAUUAGUGGCAUUUAGGUUGUCUGUAAGAGAAAAAGAUGAAAAUUGUAUUUAAACCCAUUCCUCUUGGCCAGGACAGGACAGUUCUGUCUUGAUCCACCGCUGUGGGAAGAUGAGAUAAAGUUGCAACUCGGUCAAGAUAGAUGAGGAGAGAAGGGAAGGGAAUGAAAAUAAUACAAAUUAUUGGGGCUGUCUCCGUGAGGCUGGGAGGACAGGACCAACAUGACUAAUGAUUUGCAGAAAAUGAUUUCUUGGCCAAACUUGGCCUUUAUAGAGGGAGAACUGUCAGGGGCCACAAUGGAAGUUUUCGGAUGUGUUCAUGAGUCCGAAUGAUUUCAUGAGGAAAUAAAGCACCCCAGGCAGGGUUACCCCAGGGACUAAUGCUCCUCUUGGCCAGCAAGAAACUCAAAGAGUCUCUGAGCAAAGAGGGCUUGUUCUUGAGGUCCCUCCAAGCUCUUCCAGUUAAAAUUAGCCUGCUUAAUUUGAGGUUUUUUUGGAUUACAGGGAGUACGUAUCGUGAAACCUAAAUGCAAAAGGGGGUUGGUAGAGCAACCAUCCAAUUGUUGCUGCUCUGUUUCUAUAAAUAAUUCUCGUGGCUUGGAUCUAGGCCCACUUCAUGUUUUUUUCCUCUUCUGAUAUGACUCUUUUCUCCUUUUGUUCUCAUCCUCAGUCCUUGUGAUACACCUGUGAGAUGAAUCGUUUAUUCAGCCAGUUGUUCAGUGUGAUUAUCUCCAGCAGAGAAGCCAACCACUAAAAAUUAGUGGGUUUGUAGAAAUACAGGCUAAAGAAGGACUGGGUUUUGUUGGUAUUUAAAAAAAAAAAAUGUACAUAAUGGCAUUUGUUGAAAAAUAGGGGGUCAGCUGACACGAUUUGUGUUGAACUCAACCAAAAAUGACAGCAGAAAGUAGCAAUUUUUUUAAAAAUCAAGCCAUUUCUUGGUGCUUUUUUGGAAAUGAGAUGCUUGGACUUCUUUUUCAAGUGAUGUUUGGAGCACCAGUGAAGCUAAUGCUAACUUAAAAAACCCCUCUGAUUUGUGCUUCCCCAGUGAACCUUUUUUUUCCCCCCUUUUUUCCCCCUGUUUAUUUUCUUGAGGAAGGAAGAAGCAAAACUUUGUCCUGAGUCACCUCAAACGACCCCGUGUCCUUGACCAGCAAAAAGAGCAACACAACCCUAAUAAAAUUCCAUGAAUCAUAGAUUUCUUAACUGCUUGAAACCCCCGUGAACAAAAACCCCAAGACAAAAGAAAAGUUGCCAAACCCUUGAUGUUUUCCUUCUGGCAACUCUUUGCUUUAUCCAUUUGGUUGCCCAACUUCUGAUUUGGAAACAAACUUAUUUUAAUUCCCAUAUGAUGGGAAUGCCCUUCAGUCCCUUUUGGCUUCUUUGCUUCCAGGUGUGUCCAGCCAUCUCUCCCCAGGAGCUGGGAAGGCUCAAAGGCUCCUUCAUGGAGGCCACUUGAAGCUGUGCUCUGCUGGAGGACCUGCAGAAGGGCUGGGUGGGGAAGUCCUCCCAUCUUGGGGGGUCCGUCCCAUCUUGGGUGUCCAUCUCCUCUUGCUCCAAGGUGCUCAAAUGCUCUGUGCUCUGACCAUCUGCUGGGGUGUGGGGCGUGCCUGUGAAGCAUGACUUGAAUGUUGGCUGCUCUGAAAAUGGAGGAGAAGCCACCAGUGCAAGCCAGGAGAAAUGGGAAAGACGGUGACUCCUGCCAGCGUGGAGGUACCUCGGGUCCCUUUGUGCGUGGGAAACGACACCAAAAAACCUGGAGGCUGCUGGAGGAAGAGCAUCUGGAGGGGAGGUGAUGUGUGGCCUGGGCUGCAGAACAGGUACCAAGGACCUGGGCUUAGCUGCAGCCCUGCUGUGAGAAGGCUUUGAAGCCUCCUCCCUGCUUGCUGUGCAGGUAUAACUCCCCUUAGAGCAUCCUGGGAGCGGGGAAAUGGACCCAGGCGUGGAUGGAACUGGCUGCUUUGAAGAAUUAAGAGGAAGAAGACUCUGCUUUCCCUUGCUUUUCCAAGCAGGAGAUUCAUGAGGUGGCUGGCUGAGCUUCAGGGACCUUGCAGUGUUUUCAUCAUAUUGAUGGGUGGAUGGAUUUUUGGUUCUUGGAGUAUGUUUAAGACUUUAAUUAAAUCAGUACACUCUGCAAUGGUUCCCUGCUGCUUAUCAGCCUCUUAAGGCCUUGAUUCAUUGCUCAGUAUGAUAUUUUUUUUUCCCAGCCUAAAGUAAGCUUUAAAAACUUGUUAUUAGAGAGAUUAAAGUUAUAACCUAAACAAA